rnacentral:rRNA from 1 species
UACAGAGGGGGCAAGCGUUGUUCGGAAUUACUGGGCGUAAAGGGCGCGUAGGCGGCACAGCAAGUCGGGAGUGAAAGCCCGGGGCUCAACCCCGGAACUGCUUUCGAAACUGCUGAGCUAGAGUACAGAAGGGGCAACCGGAAUUCCCAGUGUAGCGGUGAAAUGCGUAGAUAUUGUGAAGAACACCUGAGGCGAAGGCGGGUUGCUGGGCUGAUACUGACGCUGAGGCGCGAAAGCCAGGGGAGCAAACGGG